UGGAGGAGGCGGGGGGCGAGGAAGGAAGGAGUCGGGUUGACGAGCGCUCGUGCGGGAGGGCCACUGUGCGGGGAGAGGGGCUCCCGAGCACGCGCGUGGCGACGAGACUGUGGGAACUCUCGCGAGAUCUUCUGGUACCAGCUUUAUGUGGACGCAGAGGACCUGCGUCCUUUCCCGGGUGCAGUUCCAUCCUGCAGCACAGAAGCCGUUUCUCUCCGCCCGCCUUCUCUCUUCAUGAGUGCGUGCUACCGCCCCCUGGAAGAUUGUAUGGACAUGGACAUGAGCCCUUUGAGGCCCUAGAACUGCCUUUUCGGUCAGGUUAGGGGCCGGUGCAAAGGAUGCAAAGUGGACAGCACUUAGUAGCUGUGGAGGAAGAUGCAGUCAGAAGAUGACGAGGAGGAGGAUGUGAAACUCAUGUCUGGAAAGUGUUCUGCCCCUGGAGGUGGUAGCAAGGUUCCGCAGAAAAAAGUAAAACUUGCUGCUGAUGAAGAUGAUGAGGACGAUGAUGAGGAUGAGGAUGAUAAAGAGUAAGUAUGGAUUCAGAAGCUUGAUGAAGUUGUAUGGGGGGUUUUAAGAAAAUUUUUUUCUAAAAUCGUCCUGUGGAAUUGAGUAAUAGCUUUAAAUAAAGGGUAAAUGGUCAGUGGUUGUCAUUUUGGGUUAAAUGAGCCAAGUUAAAGUGUUGGAACUAUGAACCUUUAAAGUGCUUCAGUGCAUUGAGAAUUUUCAGAACUAUUUCCCUGAUGUGUUUGACUAGGUACCGCAAGCAUGUCAAACUCGCGGCCCAUGGGCCGCAUGCGGCCCACAACGAAUAUUUUUGCGGCCCAGCCAAAACAACGCUACAGAUGGAGCUCCUUUGAUGACCGGAAACAAUGGUUUCGUGGAAUUACUGCAAAAAAAACAAAGUGAAAUUUAUGACGGAUCCAUGAUUCAUCAUAUACAUUGCAUUAUACAUCAAGAAGUAUUAUGCGCAAAGGUAAUAAACAUGGAAAAUGUGUUGACAUCUAUCAAAAAAAAUUAUCAAUUUCAUAAGAUCUCAAAGCUUUAAUCAGCAACAGUUCUCUGCUUUCUUAAGUGAAUUAGCAAAUAUUCCGGCUUGUGCUACUUACUAUAUCGAGGUACGUUGGCUAUCCUGCUCCAAGGUUCUGAAACAAUUCUGGGACUUGAAAGAAGAAAUAUGUCAGUUCUUAAUGUCUAAAAAUCAAGACACAAGCCUAUUUUUUGACACAAUAUGGUUGCAGGAUUUAUCCUUCAUGGUUGAUAUAACAAAACAUUUAUAUGAUUUAAACUUAAAAUUGCAAGGAAGAGAUCAGAUUAUUACAAACAUGUGUGACCAAGUCAAAGCAUUUAAAUGUAAGCUAGUUCUUUGGGAAAAGCAGUUGAAAAA